rnacentral:rRNA from 1 species
AGAGUUGAUCAUGGCUCAGGAUGAACGCUAGCUACAGGCUUAACACAUGCAAGUCGAGGGGCAGCAUGGUCUUAGCUUGCUAAGGCCGAUGGCGACCGGCGCACGGGUGAGUAACGCGUAUCCAACCUGCCUUACACUCUUGGACAGCCUUCUGAAAGGGAGAUUAAUACAAGAUGUUAUCAUGAGUAAGCAUUUUCGCAUGAUUAAAGGUUUACCGGUGUAAGAUGGGGAUGCGUUCCAUUAGAUAGUAGGCGGGGUAACGGCCCACCUAGUCUUCGAUGGAUAGGGGUUCUGAGAGGAAGGUCCCCCACAUUGGAACUGAGACACGGUCCAAACUCCUACGGGAGGAGCA